rnacentral:lncRNA from 1 species
CUCUCGAGUAUGAGUGCGUGGGUUCGAUUCCAGGUCAGGCAAGUAACAAUGCAACUUUUCUAAGUUUGUAUGUACUUUCUAAGUAUAUCUUGGACACCAAUGGCUGAUAAAAAGGUGAAGGAAAACAUCUUGAGGAAACCUGGACUAUAAAGUCUGAAAUCACCAACCCGCAUUGAGCAAGCGUGGUGAUUAAUGCUCAAUCCUUCUCCAUGUGAGAGGAGGCCUGUGCCCAGCAGUGGGACGAUAAAAA